GUCAAGCCAAUUUGGGAACUUUUUUUUUCUUCAGCCCCCCCUCGCUCUGCGUAUCACUCUGCCCUUAUUCUUACUGGCUGGGUAAUGUGUGCAUGGCGUGGUGAAAUGCGGGUAGUCGAACAGUUGGCUUGGAAGGAGAGCAUUCACUCAGUGUGCUAGACUCAUAACCUUUCCAUUUGUGAAUAUGAGCCAUGCAGAAGAAGAACAAGCUGCUAUGUCCCCCAUUUCAGUUAAAGAGGGAAACCGGUGCACGCGCGCACCAACAUCAGCAUCUGAUGAAGUCCCCGAGAAGGAUGAAGAUGAACUGGCCUUUCUGAUCAAAGCACCCUCUAAUGCUCGAGGCUGGCCCCGCAUAGGUAGGUGCCUUUAUGCACCUACUUCCCU
rnacentral:lncRNA from 8 species